rnacentral:rRNA from 1 species
AGUACGUGAAACUGCUUAGAGGUUAAACCCGAUGAACCUGAAUAUCCGUUAUGGAAAAUUUCAUCAUUAAUAUUAUUAUAUAAAAAAUAUAAUAAAAAUAGUGUGCAAUUUUUCCAUAUAAGGACAUUGUAAUCUGUUAAUGUAUUAAAUAUUUAUCAAAAAAUCUUUAACAUAAGUUUAUUCAAAUUAGUUAUUUUCGAAUUUCUAACAUAGAAUAAUUGUUUUAGAUUUGAUAAAUCAUUGACAGAUUGUAUUACAUAUAAUGCUCAAAUUCUAAAAUAAUAAAAUAAAAAUUAAAUUAAGAAUUUUAUAAUUAUAGUAUAAAUUUAUUUAUACUAUUAAUUAUAUGCAUUUAUAUGAUUAACAAUGCAAUAGAUUCAGGAUACCUUCGGGACCCGUCUUGAAACACGGACCAAGGAGUCUAACAUAUGUGCAAGUCAUUGGGUAUUUUUAAUAAAACCCAAAGGCAUAAUUAACUUAACUGUUUUUUAAUGGGAUUAGUUUAAAUUUUAUUAUGAAAUAUAAAUUCAAUCCCGGGGCGUUCUAUAUAGUUAUGCAUAAUAGUAUAUAUAUUAUUUAUGCCUCUAACUAGAGC